rfam:Glossina palpalis gambiensis isolate 146720 unplaced genomic scaffold Scaffold464, whole genome shotgun sequence.
AGGUCCCACCAUCAGGAGCAUGCUAGCGACAACUAGCCUCCGCGAAGUAAUACCCAACGGUGGUCCCGCGGGGGAGAGUGGUAUACGAAAUGUGUGGGGGGUAGUUUUUAAUACGUAUGCGUCAGGGAUGGCGAAUCGUGCAUUCUGCUACUAAGACCCAGCAGUAUCUUUUGAAGAUUUUCUACUUCCAGCUC